rnacentral:rRNA from 1 species
UGACGAGUGGCGGACGGGUGAGUAAUGUCUGGGAAACUGCCUGAUGGAGGGGGAUAACUACUGGAAACGGUGGCUAAUACCGCAUAACGUCGCAAGACCAAAGAGGGGGACCUUCGGGCCUCUUGCCAUCAGAUGUGCCCAGAUGGGAUUAGCUAGUUGGUGAGGUAACGGCUCACCAAGGCGACGAUCCCUAGCUGGUCUGAGAGGAUGACCAGCCACACUGGAACUGAGACACGGUCCAGACUCCUACGGGAGGCAGCAGUGGGGAAUAUUGCACAAUGGGCGCAAGCCUGAUGCAGCCAUGCCGCGUGUAUGAAGAAGGCCUUCGGGUUGUAAAGUACUUUCAGCGGGGAGGAAGGUGUUGUGGUUAAUAACCGCAGCAAUUGACGUUACCCGCAGAAGAAGCACCGGCUAACUCCGUGCCAGCAGCCGCGGUAAUACGGAGGGUGCAAGCGUUAAUCGGAAUUACUGGGCGUAAAGCGCACGCAGGCGGUCUGUCAAGUCGGAUGUGAAAUCCCCGGGCUCAACCUGGGAACUGCAUUCGAAACUGGCAGGCUUGAGUCUUGUAGAGGGGGGUAGAAUUCCAGGUGUAGCGGUGAAAUGCGUAGAGAUCUGGAGGAAUACCGGUGGCGAAGGCGGCCCCCUGGACAAAGACUGACGCUCAGGUGCGAAAGCGUGGGGAGCAAACAGGAUUAGAUACCCUGGUAGUCCACGCCGUAAACGAUGUCUACUUGGAGGUUGUGCCCUUGAGGCGUGGCUUCCGGAGCUAACGCGUUAAGUAGACCGCCUGGGGAGUACGGCCGCAAGGUUAAAACUCAAAUGAAUUGACGGGGGCCCGCACAAGCGGUGGAGCAUGUGGUUUAAUUCGAUGCAACGCGAAGAACCUUACCUGGUCUUGACAUCCACAGAACUUUCCAGAGAUGGACUGGUGCCUUCGGGAACUGUGAGACAGGUGCUGCAUGGCUGUCGUCAGCUCGUGUUGUGAAAUGUUGGGUUAAGUCCCGCAACGAGCGCAACCCUUAUCCUUUGUUGCCAGCGGUUAGGCCGGGAACUCAAAGGAGACUGCCAGUGAUAAACUGGAGGAAGGUGGGGAUGACGUCAAGUCAUCAUGGCCCUUACGACCAGGGCUACACACGUGCUACAAUGGCGCAUACAAAGAGAAGCGACCUCGCGAGAGCAAGCGGACCUCAUAAAGUGCGUCGUAGUCCGGAUUGGAGUCUGCAACUCGACUCCAUGAAGUCGGAAUCGCUAGUAAUCGUGGAUCAGAAUGCCACGGUGAAUACGUUCCCGGGCCUUGUACACACCGCCCGUCACACCAUGGGAGUGGGUUGCAAAAGAAGUAGGUAGCUUAACCUUCGGGAGGGCGCUUACCACUUUGUGAUUCAUGACUGGGGUGAAGUCGUAACAAGGUAACCGUAGGGGAACCUGCGGUUGGAUCACCUCCUUACCUUAAAGAA